UGUCAUGAACCACAAACCGUUUACGUGGAUCUCAAUGAGACUGGAUACAGCGAAUAGGUUUGUAUUGAAUAAAAAGUACCAUAAGGGAAGCAGGCCAAACAGUUAGCAAAUUUAACAAAGUCCAAUAGAAAAUAAGAGCACAAAAAAACAAAAUGAUCAAAGUUGGAGAGCACGAAGAUGAGGGCACAAACAGCGAAAUGCAGCACCCACAGCGGCCUGAUGUGGAAUAGUUUGGGAACCCCUGUGCUAAGGUUGUGAACUUGUGAUUAAGGUGGGUGGCAGCAGGAACUGAAGAACUGUUUUACUCAACCAGUUGCUCCAUCGAUGUACUAGCACUGAGCCACUGAGAAUCUCCAACGCUCAUCAUGGAGGCCAUCAUUCCACGAAGCGGCGGCCGACUGUUUUGGCUGCCAGCUAAAAGGCUGCCCUCCACAACGGCCUUGAACUGGACUGAUGAAGGAAUCUCAUGGGAGAGCAAGAAACAACCGCAAAGAUUGUUCAUUCAUUUAAGGGGCAUUCAUUUUCUACACUGUGGUCAUUUAUUUCAUCUGCUGUUUCUGACUGUGUAUCAUAUUGCCUCUGCAAAGCUCUUUGAGACAACCUUGUGAUAUAGGGCUAUACAAAUAAAAUUGAAUUGAUGCGGACAAUGUUUUGACUUACUUGGAAUUGUAUUGUGUUUUAACUGUUGAACUCGAGAUUUCCUUUGUUUUUUUCAUUCAUCAAUUUCAAUACUGCUUGGUGUAUUAGGACACAUUGUUUGAAAAUCGUAAUUUUUUUUUGGUUCCAAAUCUGAAUUUCAAAAUUUACAUUUCUUAUCCCGAACUAGUGUACUUGCUUGAUCUAAAGCACCCUGCGCGCUUAGGCCAUGUCUACACGUAGCAUAAUAUUAGGCAAAAACUUUUUCUACGGUUUGGCCUAUCAUCCCAUCCGCUCGCACAUUUAAACGAGGGUUCUUAAAACCUCCGUCCAAAGUGAAGUUGUGCGAAUUCUGCGUUUGUGGCGCCAUCAUGUGUACACUGAUAACCGACGCUUUCACUGUGAAAACGUCACUGACUGCAACAAACUUUGUCCCCACGUCACACAUGAGACUAAUGUUUACAUUUAGAGUAAAUAAGAAGGUGCUUUUUUUUUUUUUUUUUUUUUGCUUCCAUUUAUUGACAAACUCCUGCAGUGCUUCAUAUUGAAGAACACAUGCGAAGGACGGGGUGGGGGUAUUAUGGACAAUUGUUUUUCGUACAUUGUUAUCAAUGUACUUAAAAACGAAUAAACGCAGUUGGCAGUGGAAGCUUUUUUCCACCCACAAGCGUGCUGGUGUGGACGUAAUUAGUUUUUUUUAACGUAUCAGGGCAGGAUCCUUGGUUUUAAAAAAAAAAACCCUACUAGGUGUAGACAUGGCCUUAAUUUAGCGUCCUGCUUGUUCCAAGAACAAGAACCAAGCAGGGUGAGGCAACAUUAAUUACUAUGCUCCUCACCUCUGGAACAAGUUACUUGAAGGUCUGAAGUGUGCUCAAACUGUUAGCUCCUUUAAAUCAGGGCUUAAACGCAAUUGUUUACCAUAGCAUUUCCUUCAGUGUAUACAGUAUUUCAGAUUUCAGGUUAUUUGCUUUUUAUUCCUUUUUUAUUUUUGUUUAAUUUCCAUUUCCGAACUUGAUUAUUUUUUAAUUUUCUUGGUUAUUUAAUGUGAUUUUUAUGUAUAAUUGUAUUUCCUGUUUCAAUUGUCUUUGUUUUUAACUUUGUUUUUUAUUUAAUGUGAUUUUUACAAAUCAUUUCAUCUCUGUGGAUCUUCACGUGACAUAAAGCACUUUGAAAGAACUUGUGUUGAUUUGUACUAUUCAAAUAAAUUUGCCUUGCCUUGA